GGUGAACGCUGGCGGUGCGCCUAAUGCAUGCAAGUCGAGCGACGCACUCCGGAGGGGUAACCCACUGGAAUGACGGAGCGGCGAACGGGUGAGUAACACGUGAGCAACCUGCCCCGCAGACCGGGAUAGCCCAGGGAAACUUGGAUUAAUACCGGAUACCCUCGGAGGAUCGCAUGAUCCAUCGAGGAAAAGCCUUUGUGCUGUGGGAUGGGCUCGCGACUUAUCAGCUAGUUGGUGGGGUAACGGCCUACCAAGGCUUCGACGAGUAGCUGGUCUGAGAGGACGAUCAGCCACACUGGAACUGAGACACGGUCCAGACUCCUACGGGAGGCAGCAGCAGGGAAUCUUGUCCAAUGGGCGAAAGCCUGAGACAGCGACACCGCGUGGGGGAUGAAGGCCUUCGGGUUGUAAACCCCUUUCAGGAGGGAAGAAAUUGACGGUACCUCCACAAGAAGGACCGGCCAACUACGUG
rnacentral:rRNA from 1 species